ensembl:lncRNA
CCUGGGAGCGAUUCUCUUUGUCCGAAGCGGCCUCUCACCAGUCCAAUCCAGUGUGUAGGUUAAUAAGGCUUAAACUUUAAAGGCAGGGUGAACAUCUGAUUGACAAGCUGCUGAAUGAGAGUCCAGGGGGAAGUUCUGGGCUUGGAAAGUGCCCCGCUUCCUGAGAUGCAGCUGAAUUUUAAAGAGCCCCGGGCUCGCCACCUCCAGAGGCCGACUGGCACUGCUCAGCCCGCUUCCAGCUGGUCUCGGAAUCAGCACCGGAAGUGCUGCCUGGAAGAAUCACUCUUGUCCCCCAAUGAAAGGUGACUCAGGCUGGGAUCGAUCGCAAGUCAGCGUGAUCAGCUCCGAGGUGACCCUGCUCAGCCUUGGGCCAGGCUCAGUCCCGAUCCCCACCAGGAGCCCCCAGAAGCCGGGCCAGGGAAACUGUGGCUGAACAAUGAGAAAUACACGAGGGCUGUUUGGAUACCAAAUGAGUUACUUCAAGCAGAGCAGAGCUUGGUCUACAGCAAGCUGUUGAUGUCAGUGGACCACAUCUCCACGAAUGCUGCGCUGCACAACAAGCAGAGGUUGGCAUCCUCCUUGGUAGUUAAGCUCCUGUGAUAUCGUGAAAUACAUAUGUGGUCUGCUUCCCUCCAAGAAUCCUCCAAAAUGGGAACAGAUUGCUUCGUGAGACUGGCUCAGCCCAGGCAGAGAGCAGCAGGCCCAGGUGCGGCGAGGCAGCGCAUGAGGCCCAGCGUCGUAUGAACCUCGAGGUCACUCCAGGCCUCCUGCUCCCCGGAGGGGCAGAAGUGCACCGCGGUCAGGAGCCAGGCUUCAGGGUCUGAUUUUCCUGUUCGGAGUCCUCUCUUUGCCAGUUGCUGGCUGUGGAAGUUGCUCCAGGACACACAGAUUGGCGUCACGUGGGCUGAGAUGAGCGAGGUCUUAUUUUCGGGGGACACAGCACCUGGCCGUGACUGCUCUGGCCCCGGGCACCCAGUCUGGGUGAGGAGCGAGUCCUCCUGCCCUCGCCUGCUCUCUGCACCAGUGACUUUCUCCUGGAACCUUCCUUGGUGGUCUGACUUCAGCAUCCUGUGCGUCCAGGCUGAGACUCAGUGACACACGGGCAGAUGGCCUGAAGCCGAACAGACAGCAGGAGUGUACGUUUAUCAAAUUUGGGCUGGAAAGACCCUGUGCCCCAGCAGAGGCUGUCAUACAGCUGUCACAGAGGAGCAUAUGGUCCAGCGGUGGGACCCGGCCACGCUGAUCCCACUCUCGGGGAGAUUAGCUCUGAUGAGUGAGGAAGGCUGCUGCUGUUGCUGGGAGCUGGGGAACUUGCGGUGGUGAAUUCGUGAACCACCGUCUUGAAUUCUUGAACCUUCGCACGACCCAGGCUCCAGAGGGGACUGCAGAGCAAUGUGGCUGACAGGGACACAAGACAGCCAACAUGCACCGGUCUCCAGCCCCUCGAGAGACAGAUCCUUCCAUGCUCACUUUUCCUGUACCCCGGCCCCCAUCCACCGACCAGGAAAUGCACAUCUGAGACCCUGUGUGGGUCCCCCGGUGGCGGAAGUGGUGGGCGCCCUGUCUAUGGGACAUGAGGCUGCACCCUAUGUCCCUGCACCCUGUUCCACCUCAUGGGAGAGACACUGACAGGAAGCACAAGGCAGCGAGGGUGCAGAUGGGACUGUGCUCAUGUAUGGGGCCUAGUAGGGGCCUGGCUUUUCAUACUUCGGAGUCCAGGACCACAGGACUCAGGACAGACAGACCCAGCACCAAGGGACGCUGCCUGGGACACACACUGCCUGGUGCUGUGGUUCUUACCCUGCACCUCUGCCUGUGGUACUGGGGACUGAACCCAGGGCCUUCGCAAUGAGCUCCAUCCCCAG